rnacentral:rRNA from 1 species
AUUGAACGCUGGCGGCAGGCCUAACACAUGCAAGUCGAGCGGAUGAAGGGAGCUUGCUCCUGGAUUCAGCGGCGGACGGGUGAGUAACGCCUAGGAAUCUGCCUGGUAGUGGGGGAUAACGUCCGGAAACGGGCGCUAAUACCGCAUACGUCCUGAGGGAGAAAGUGGGGGAUCUUCGGACCUCACGCUAUCAGAUGAGCCUAGGUCGGAUUAGCUAGUUGGUGGGGUAAAGGCCUACCAAGGCGACGAUCCGUAACUGGUCUGAGAGGAUGAUCAGUCACACUGGAAUUGAGACACGGUCCAGACUCCUACGGGAGGCCGCAGUGGGGAAUAUUAGAACAUGGGCGAAAGCCUUAUCCAGCCAUGCCGCGUGUGUGAAGAAGGUCUUCGGAUUGUAAAGCACUUUAAGUUGUGAGGAAGGGCAGUAAGUUAAUACCUUGCUGUUUUGACGUUACCAACAGAAUAAGCACCGGCUAACUUCGUG